rnacentral:rRNA from 1 species
UACAGAGGUCCCAAGCGUUGUUCGGAUUCACUGGGCGUAAAGGGUGCGUAGGUGGUGAGGUAAGUCGGAUGUGAAAGCUCGGAGCUCAACUCCGAAAUAGCAUUGGAAACUACCUUGCUCGAGGGUUGGAGGGGGGACUGGAAUACUUGGUGUAGCAGUGAAAUGCGUAGAUAUCAAGUGGAACACCAGUGGCGAAGGCGAGUCCCUGGACAACUCCUGACACUGAGGCACGAAAGCUAGGGGAGCAAACAGG